rnacentral:lncRNA from 1 species
AUCGAAAGCGAAAGGAAUUAGGCAGUUUCAUGUGGCAGACGACUUACAUUUCUAAUCCCAUGUGCUUACCGAUGACUAUUAGUAAAAAAGGAUCAUGUAUAUACACUAGUGAUAACUUGCUCAUUUUAAUACAAUCUUGAGAUUAAAAAAAAAAAAAAAAAAAAGCCGUGGAUGCUUCUUCAGGUUGUCAUUGUGCACUCGAGGAGGCCAUGAGGUUAGCACGUGGACGUGGUGUUCUUCAUCUUUAAAUUUUCUUUCCUCUC